rnacentral:misc_RNA from 1 species
AGAAGGCAGUUGAGGACAAGC